GGAACCAGCCUCAAAGAGGGGGACAACAGUUGGAAACGACUGCUAAUACCGCAUAAGCCCACGACCCGGCAUCGGGUUGAGGGAAAAGGAGCAAUCCGCUUUGAGAUGGCCUCGCGUCCGAUUAGCUAGUUGGUGAGGUAAUGGCCCACCAAGGCAACGAUCGGUAGCCGGACUGAGAGGUUGAACGGCCACAUUGGGACUGAGACACGGCCCAGACUCCUACGGGAGGCAGCAGUGGGGAAUAUUGCACAAUGGGGGAAACCCUGAUGCAGCGACGCCGCGUGGAGGAAGAAGGUCUUCGGAUUGUAAACUCCUGUUGUUGAGGAAGAUAAUGACGGUACUCAACAAGGAAGUGACGGCUAACUACGUGCCAGCAGCCGCGGUAAAACGUAGGUCACAAGCGUUAUCCGGAUUUACUGGGUGUAAAGGGAGCGUAGACGGCGAGGCAAGUCUGAUGUGAAAACCCGGGGCUCAACCCCGUGACUGCAUUGGAAACUGUUUUGCUUGAGUGCCGGAGAGGUAAGCGGAAUUCCUAGUGUAGCGGUGAAAUGCGUAGAUAUUAGGAGGAACACCAGUGGCGAAGGCGGCCUACUGGGCACCAACUGACGCUGAGGCUCGAAAGUGUGGGUAGCAAACAGGAUUAGAUACCCUGGUAGUCCACACCGUAAACGAUGAUUACUA
rnacentral:rRNA from 1 species